rnacentral:rRNA from 1 species
AGUGAACGCUGGCGGUAGGCCUAACACAUGCAAGUCGAACGGCAGCACAGUAAGAGCUUGCUCUUACGGGUGGCGAGUGGCGGACGGGUGAGGAAUACAUCGGAAUCUACUUUUUCGUGGGGGAUAACGUAGGGAAACUUACGCUAAUACCGCAUACGACCUACGGGUGAAAGCAGGGGAUCUUCGGACCUUGCGCGAUUGAAUGAGCCGAUGUCGGAUUAGCUAGUUGGCGGGGUAAAGGCCCACCAAGGCGACGAUCCGUAGCUGGUCUGAGAGGAUGGUCAGCCACACUGAAACUGAGACACGGUCCAGACUCCUACGGGAGGCAGCAGUGGGGAAUAUUGGACAAUGGGCGCAAGCCUGAUCCAGCCAUACCGCGUAGGUGAAGAAGGCCUUCGGGUUGUAAAGCCCUUUUGUUGGGAAAGAAAAGCAGCAGGUUAAUACCCCGCUGUUCUGACGGUACCCAAAGAAUAAGCACCGGCUAACUUCGUG